rnacentral:lncRNA from 1 species
UGAAAUCAAUGGAAUUAUAACAAAACAAAUAUAUAUCUGAUAAACCUAUGAUAAAAUUAAAGUAAUAAAAAAUGAGUUUAAUAUUAUUCUAAUUUAUCUUGUCAGCUAGGUUAUUUCUCAGGAUUUAAAUCCUUUAAUAAGCCCCUCUAACAACUUUAGUUAUGGGAUACCAGUUAAAUGUACACAAAAAUGUAAAUUUUUCAUCAGCAGACAUUUUGCUAAAAGAUUGGACUUUCUUUCUUCCUCCCAAAAAAAAUUUAACACUUUAAGGCGAAAUUCAUCUUUUAACAGAGGGAAAUAAUCUUUUUUU